rnacentral:rRNA from 1 species
AUUGAACGCUGGCGGCAGGCCUAACACAUGCAAGUCGAACGGUAACAGGAAGCAGCUUGCUGCUUUGCUGACGAGUGGCGGACGGGUGAGUAAUGUCUGGGAAACUGCCCGAUGGAGGGGGAUAACUACUGGAAACGGUAGCUAAUACCGCAUAACGUCGCAAGACCAAAGAGGGGGACCUUAGGGCCUCUUGCCAUCGGAUGUGCCCAGAUGGGAUUAGCUAGUAGGUGGGGUAACGGCUCACCUAGGCGACGAUCCCUAGCUGGUCUGAGAGGAUGACCAGCCACACUGGAACUGAGACACGGUCCAGACUCCUACGGGAGGCAGCAGUGGGGAAUAUUGCACAACGGGCGCAAGCCUGAUGCAGCCAUGCCGCGUGUAUGAAGAAGGCCUUCGGGUUGUAAAGUACUUUCAGCGGGGAGGAAGGGAGUAAAGUUAAUACCUUUGCUCAUUGACGUUACCCGCAGAAGAAGCACUGGCUAACUCCGUG